AUUGAACGCUGGCGGCAUGCCUUACACAUGCAAGUCGAACGGCAGCACGGGAGCUUGCUCCUGGUGGCGAGUGGCGAACGGGUGAGUAAUACAUCGGAACGUACCCUGAAGUGGGGGAUAACGUAGCAAAAGUUACGCUAAUACCGCAUAUUCUGUGAGCAGGAAAGAGGGGGAUCGCAAGACCUCUUGCUUUAGGAGCGGCCGAUGUCGGAUUAGCUAGUUGGUGAGGUAAAGGCUCACCAAGGCGACGAUCCGUAGCGGGUCUGAGAGGAUGAUCCGCCACACUGGGACUGAGACACGGCCCAGACUCCUACGGGAGGCAGCAGUGGGGAAUUUUGGACAAUGGGCGCAAGCCUGAUCCAGCCAUGCCGCGUGAGUGAAGAAGGCCUCGGUUGUAAGCUCUUCGUGGGAGGAAGUUAGCACAGGAGUAAUAACCUUGUGUAG
rnacentral:rRNA from 1 species